AAGUCGUAACAAGGUCUCCGUUGGUGAACCAGCGGAGGGAUCAUUACUGAGUCGUAAAAACUCCCAAACCCAUGUGAACUUACCUAUGUUGCCUCGGCAGGAGCCUACCCGGGGAUCCUACCCCUGUAGCUACCUUGUAGCCUGCCGGUGGACAUUCUAAACUCUUGUUUUUUUAUAGAAAUCUGAAACGUCUGAUUAAAAUAAGUUCAAAA
rnacentral:misc_RNA from 1 species